rnacentral:tRNA from 1 species
GAUUAAGAAACAAUAAAUUGUUUUCAAUUUCGACUUGAACUUUAAGAAAUUAUUUUCUCUUAAUU